rnacentral:misc_RNA from 1 species
GGUGAAUGGGGUGACAAGAGCCAGCUUGCUACCAUUGGUUUGGCUGCCGAUGAGAAUCCACUAGGAGUUGUUCUUGGAGGAAUACUGGGACAAGCCUUGUGUACUACAGCUGCCGUCCUAGGAGGGAAAAGUCUUGCAUCUUCAAUAUCUGAAAGAAUAGUGGGAGUUGCUGGUGGAUCUCUAUUCAUUGUUUUCGGAAUUCAGUCCUACCUUUCAACAGUCGAGUAACCAUGUCGUUUAUCUUAUGAACCCUGUUCUCCGGAAAUGAAUGAUAGUCUAGAUGCACAUUUUGUUUGCUGAACUCCUCGGUAUGAAAGGUACGACGACUACAUAAAAGCAAGCAAAUCGGUUAAGCACUAUCCAAUUAGAUAUUUGUUCCGUUAAUUUAGAUUAAGGCUCCGCGUCUAGUCCAAGGCAGGCAGCCACUAUUUUUAACCUUUUCGCUGCAAGGCAAAUAUGUAGACUCUAUUUGCUUAUGAUAAGCUUAUUCUCAUUGAGCGCAUUUCACCAUUUUUAUGGACUACAGUUUUUCUUU